rnacentral:rRNA from 1 species
GGGCUUGACAUCCCACGAACCUGGUGGAAACACCGGGGUGCCUUCGGGAGCCGCAAGACAGGUGCUGCAUGGCUGUCGUCAGCUCGUGUCGUGAGAUGUCGGGUUAAGUCCCGCAACGAGCGCAACCCCUAUCCUUAGUUGCCAUCAUUCAGUUGGGCACUCUAAGGAGACUGCCGGUGUCAAACCGGAGGAAGGUGGGGAUGACGUCAAGUCCUCAUGCCCCUUACGUCCUGGGCUACACACGUGCUACAAUGGCCGGUACAAAGGGAUGCAAGACUGCGAGGUGGAGCUAAACCCAAAAAGCCGGUCUAAGUUCAGAUUGGAGUCUGCAACUCGACUCCAUGAAGGAGGAAUCGCUAGUAAUCGCGCAUCAGCACGGCGCGGUGAAUACGUUCCCGGGCCUUGUACACACCGCCCGUCACACCACGAAAGCCAGCUGUACUCGAAGUCGCUGAG